rnacentral:rRNA from 1 species
GAUGUACGCUAGCUACAGGCUUAACACAUGCAAGUCGAGGGGCAGCAUGGUCUUAGCUUGCUAAGGCCGAUGGCGACCGGCGCACGGGUGAGUAACACGUAUCCAACCUGCCGUCUACUCUUGGACAGCCUUCUGAAAGGAAGAUUAAUACAAGAUGGCAUCAUGAGUCCACAUGUUCACAUGAUUAAAGGUAUUCCGGUAGACGAUGGGGAUGCGUUCCAUUAGAUAGUAGGCGGGGUAACGGCCCACCUAGUCUUCGAUGGAUAGGGGUUCUGAGAGGAAGGUCCCCCACAUUGGAACUGAGACACGGUCCAAACUCCUACGGGAGGCAGCAGUGAGGAAUAUUGGUCAAUGGGCGAGAGCCUGAACCAGCCAAGUAGCGUGAAGGAUGACUGCCCUAUGGGUUGUAAACUUCUUUUAUAAAGGAAUAAAGUCGGGUAUGGAUACCCGUUUGCAUGUACUUUAUGAAUAAGGAUCGGCUAACUCCGUGCCAGCAGCCGCGGUAAUACGGAGGAUCCGAGCGUUAUCCGGAUUUAUUGGGUUUAAAGGGAGCGUAGAUGGAUGUUUAAGUCAGUUGUGAAAGUUUGCGGCUCAACCGUAAAAUUGCAGUUGAUACUGGAUAUCUUGAGUGCAGUUGAGGCAGGCGGAAUUCGUGGUGUAGCGGUGAAAUGCUUAGAUAUCACGAAGAACUCCGAUUGCGAAGGCAGCCUGCUAAGCUGCAACUGACAUUGAGGCUCGAAAGUGUGGGUAUCAAACAGGAUUAGAUACCCUGGUAGUCCACACGGUAAACGAUGAAUACUCGCUGUUUGCGAUAUACAGCAAGCGGCCAAGCGAAAGCGUUAAGUAUUCCACCUGGGGAGUACGCCGGCAACGGUGAAACUCAAAGGAAUUGACGGGGGCCCGCACAAGCGGAGGAACAUGUGGUUUAAUUCGAUGAUACGCGAGGAACCUUACCCGGGCUUAAAUUGCAGAUGAAUUACGGUGAAAGCCGUAAGCCGCAAGGCAUCUGUGAAGGUGCUGCAUGGUUGUCGUCAGCUCGUGCCGUGAGGUGUCGGCUUAAGUGCCAUAACGAGCGCAACCCUUGUUGUCAGUUACUAACAGGUUCCGCUGAGGACUCUGACAAGACUGCCAUCGUAAGAUGUGAGGAAGGUGGGGAUGACGUCAAAUCAGCACGGCCCUUACGUCCGGGGCUACACACGUGUUACAAUGGGGGGGUACAGAGGGCCGCUACCACGCGAGUGGAUGCCAAUCCCAAAAACCUCUCUCAGUUCGGACUGGAGUCUGCAACCCGACUCCACGAAGCUGGAUUCGCUAGUAAUCGCGCAUCAGCCACGGCGCGGUGAAUACGUUCCCGGGCCU